rnacentral:rRNA from 1 species
CAGUCGCCACGGUAAUACGAAGGUCCCGAGCGUUGUUCGGAAUCACUGGGCGUAAAGGGAGCGUAGGCGGCGUAGUAAGUCAGAUGUGAAAUCCCGGGGCUCAACCCCGGAACUGCAUCCGAUACUGCCGUGCUAGAGGAUUGGAGAGGUAGCUGGAAUUCUUGGUGUAGCAGUGAAAUGCGUGGAGAUCAAGAGGAACACUCGUGGCGAAAGCGAGCUACUGGACAAUAUCUGACGCUGAGGCUCGAAGGCCAGGGUAGCGAAAGGGAUUAGAUACCCCCGUAGUCCCUGUCUCUUAUAC